GAUGAACGCUGGCGGCGUGCCUAAUACAUGCAAGUCGAGCGAACGGACGAGAAGCUUGCUUCUCUGAUGUUAGCGGCGGACGGGUGAGUAACACGUGGAUAACCUACCUAUAAGACUGGGAUAACUCCGGGAAACCGGAGCUAAUACCGGAUAAUAUUUUGAACCGCAUGGUUCAAAAGUGAAAGACGGUCUUGCUGUCACUUAUAGAUGGAUCCGCGCUGCAUUAGCUAGUUGGUAAGGUAACGGCUUACCAAGGCAACGGUGCAUAGCCGACCUGAGAGGGUGAUCGGCCACACUGGAACUGAGACACGGUCCAGACUCCUACGGGAGGCAGCAGUAGGGAAUCUUCCGCAAUGGGCGAAAGCCUGACGGAGCAACGCCGCGUGAGUGAUGAAGGUCUUCGGAUCGUAAAACUCUGUUAUUAGGGAAGAACAUAUGUGUAAGUAACUGUGCACAUCUUGACGGUACCUAAUCAGAAAGCCACGGCUAACUACGUG
rnacentral:rRNA from 1 species